UGAAAAUCUGCAGUUUUUGCAGAAUUUGAUUCUUUAGCUCUCGAAAACCUUCCACAACACACUUUUGAUCGUUUUAACACCUUCGGACUUUCCGAAGUGUACCAUCCUCGCACUUUGGUCAAUUUGACUAAAGUUCGAUAUUUAUUUUCCGAAUUUUCGGUAUAUUACAUUCUCCACCCCUUAAAAUAAUUUCGUCCGCGAAAUUACGCAUACCUUAACUCGUCGACUCGAAUAGAUGCGGAUACUCUCUCCG
rnacentral:lncRNA from 1 species